GUUUUACGUUUGAUCAAGUGUUUUAUCUUUUCACGGCGUCACGGAGAUAUAAAGUCAAUUAGAUCCCAUGCACAUGCAGAGGCGGAUCCAGCCAUUUUCAAAAGGUGUGAGGUUUUGUUUGUUUGUUUGUUUUUUUAUUUUUUUUGGGGUGGGAGUCAUACAAUAGGACAAAUGGGUGUUCCAACCAGUCCAUACGUCUCCAUUUAAAUACAUUGAUCGUCAAUGUUUUCGCCACUGACAUGUUAUUUCUGUUUUUAAAUGUUUAAAAAGGAAGAAGAUAACGUCAAUGAUUAAUAAACGACAAAAUAUCCAAAAACCAAAAAACUGUCCAAGGUACAAAUUCAAUCAGAAAGAAAAGCCUCAAAUAACUAACUAAACCAUACGCUCCACUAUAUGAUCAAUCAACGAAAGGGAUGGAUGUCAUAUUCCUGACUUGGUGCUGCAUGAUACCAACCUGGUUUUAUUAGCUAGUUAAACCUCUCAAAGUUUCCAUUCGACUUUAGAUAAUUGUCUUUACACUAUGUCAAGCUAUACACCGUUCAAAUGAAUAAAAGUUGUCGACAAACUUAAGAGAGAAACUCUUAAAGUAUUCCACAAUUAGAAGAACAAUACAUGAUGGUUGUCUUCAGACCGUUCGAAAAA
rnacentral:lncRNA from 1 species